rnacentral:rRNA from 1 species
UACGUAGGGACCAAGCGUUGUUCGGAUUUACUGGGCGUAAAGGGCGCGUAGGCGGCGUGUUAAGUCAGCUGUGAAAUCUCCGAGCUUAACUCGGAACGGUCAGCUGAUACUGAUGUGCUAGAGUGCAGAGGGGGCAAUCGGAAUUCUUGGUGUAGCGGUGAAAUGCGUAGAUAUCAAGAGGAACACCUGAGGUGAAGACGGGUUGCUGGGCUGACACUGACGCUGAGGCGCGAAAGCCAGGGGAGCAAACGGG